GUCUAUGAUAGAGGUGUUUUUCUUCAUCCAAUGCAGUUCGGGUGGAAUUCCUUAUUUGUUGCUUACGUAGCUGGGUGUUUGAGAUUCCAAAGUCCUUAAAGUGUCUUUCCGCUAUGAAGCCGUUCAAAAGUCUGCUGCAACACGGUCUCGUCCAGAAAGUAGAGUGGGGCAAUUUCAUAAUUCAAUUGAGUAUAUUUAGCACCUAGUAUAGAAUUGGAUUAAGUAAAGACCGACUAUCCUUAAGUGAAGACCCCAAAGGACUUUUGCACUUGCUUCUUUCGUUGCUUCUGGAAUUGCUAUUUUCUCGUUUGCCUAUCUACUUAUUCUCAUUGUGCUUAUAUAAGUGAUUAAAGCUUCAAGUAAACCCGACGAGUCUCCUUCUGUUCGACGAGUGCAAGUUCCAUUCCUGUAGUUUCCAUUCAAGAAGAAUAAGUUGGAAACUGAAUAAGUAGUGCGGUAUCUGGGAACAGUACUAAAAGAGAGACUAUAAGUAAGAGCCCUUUGCUAUAAGAAUUGAAGAUUGCAUAUCACAAUAUAUAAGAAAAGUCAAAACCCGGCUAACCUUAUUAUUGCUUCUCAACUAACUCUGCGUUUCUUAUUGCGUGAUUCUAUCGCCCCUGCCUUUUGAAGAUACUUAUAUUGAAAGAAGUCCUUCCUAGCUUUUGAAGAUACUUAUUGUACGGAAGCCCUUGCUUUUGGAAUAUGGGCACCCCUUAUUUGCUUUAAGAAUUGAAGUCGUACAAACAAUAUGGAUAUUUUAGUAACCAAUAGAAAAGAGUAAACUAAAGGCUUGUUUUAAGUUCUCAUAUCUGCUGUUAGCGAGUUCAACGGUCCAGAGCAAAUCCUGUUUGUUUUCGUAUCGGCCGCUUCAACUCCUCCUAACGUGUGCAAGUCAAAAGAAUUCAUUGAAUCACUCGAGCGGCGUAUCGCAUUACCUGCGCUGUCAAGAGAGUUUGGCCAGUGCUCUGUAAACUGGAAUCUAUCGAGCAAGCAUAUGGUAAAGAAGUGUUUGGUAAAGACACAGCUGGACCUUUUGAAGCCUAAUAAACUAAGUAAGCGCAACUGAACUACUUCACUUUUUCCCUUAACUCUAAGGACAUAGGCGGACUAAGCACUAUAAGUACAUGGGCUUAGUUUCAAUGAUAUGAGAGUAAGCAGUGAGAAUCUUUCCCCCCGACACGGCUACUAGAAAACCUGUAUGGAUGUUUACAUUAGCGGAGUAACAAAUAGGUGUAACGAACGACUCUAACUCUCCUAACGCGAGUUUUGAUUAGCGCUUACACCGUUUCAUUCUUCUCUUUUUUGUUUCAGGGUGGAGUUUUGUUACUUUCUUUCCUCGACCACUACUUGUUCUUGUCGGCUUGGCGCCUUGUUUCAUUUCUGAUUGAUAUUAUUUAUAUUGAGCACAUGGUUGGUGUGGAAUUAAGUAAAGACACAGCUACCCAAUAGAAUGGAAUAGAACUUCCACCUCAGAUCCGUCCCAUGGCUUCAGAUCUAGAUCUUUAAACAAAAACGAUACUUUCAUUUCCAAACUCGACUUAAGCAUUAAUAGAAUCUCUCGCGUAAGCGGAAACAUAAGAUCUUAGUGAAGAAACAGAAGCAGAAGAUCUGAUAACUCCUUACGCUGAUGAAGACACUCCCAGCCUUCCCUUACAUGUAGAAUCAAAUGGAAAUGGAACUGACACCGUCUACUUAAUAUAAGAGCAACAAGAACUGGCACUUUUGGAUAAGACUCAAACAGAACAGCAACAGGCCAUCAUCCUUCCUUCCUCUUUCGAACAAAAAGACAAGAAGGAGAUUAGAGAGGAGAUUCCACUACGUCUUUGGAUCCAUCUUUUGCUUCGUAUUCUGGUCCUUGUUCUAAUGCUGAUCUUGUUUAUGCUUUUGCCUCUUCUUAUCCUACUGCUCGAACAGGAACAGGUCGCUCACUCACUUUGUCUCCGGGUAGCGAAGGUGCUAAGAGCCUCUGACUUGAAUUCUAUAGCUUUGGAGUUUCCUCUGACUUUCAUUCUAU
rnacentral:lncRNA from 1 species